GAUGAACGCUGUCGGCGUGCCUAAUACAUGCAAGUCGAGCGAACGGACGAGAAGCUUGCUUCUCUGAUGUUAGCGGCGGACGGGUGAGUAACACGUGGAUAACCUACCUAUAAGACUGGGAUAACUUCGGGAAACCGGAGCUAAUACCGGAUGAUAUUUUGAACCGCAUGGUUCAAAAGUGAAAGACGGUCUUGCUGUCACUUAUAGAUGGAUCCGCGCUGCAUUAGCUAGUUGGUAAGGUAACGGCUUACCAAGGCAACGAUGCAUAGCCGACCUGAGAGGGUGAUCGGCCACACUGGAACUGAGACACGGUCCAGACUCCUACGGGAGGCAGCAGUAGGGAAUCUUCCGCAAUGGGCGAAAGCCUGACGGAGCAACGCCGCGUGAGUGAUGAAGGUCUUCGGAUCGUAAAACUCUGUUAUUAGGGAAGAACAUAUGUGUAAGUAACUGUGCACAUCUUGACGGUACCUAAUCAGAAAGCCACGGCUAACUACGUG
rnacentral:rRNA from 1 species